rnacentral:tRNA from 1 species
GCCCGGAUAGCUCAGUCGGUAGAGCACCAGACUUUUACUCUGAGGGUCCAGGGUUCGAACCCCUGACCUGACC